rnacentral:rRNA from 1 species
ACCUCACCUACCCAUGACAUACAGUGAGACACUGCACAGAUACAUUGGUGCCUCAGGAACACUGAUACAGGUGCUGCAUGGCUGUCGUGAGCUCGUGUCCUUAGAUGUUGGGUUAARUCCCGUAACGGACGCAACCCUUAUUAUUAGUUGCCAGCGCGUAAUGGCGGCGACUCUAAUGAGACUGCCGGUGACACACCGGAGGAAGGCGGGGACGACGGCAAGUCAUCAUGGCCCUACGGGGAGGGCUACACACGUGCUACAAUGGUUCAUACAGAGGGAAGCGAAGGAGCGAUCUCGAGCCAAUCUUAGAAAGUCAAUCGUAGUCCGGAUUGGAGUCUGCAACUCGACUCCAUGAAGUCGGAAUCGCUAGUAAUCGCGAAUCAGCAUGUCGCGGUGAAUACGCCUCCCGGGUCCUUAUACACACC